CCUACGGUGGCUGCAGUGGGGAAUAUUGGACAAUGGGCGAAAGCCUGAUCCAGCCAUGCCGCGUGUGUGAAGAAGGCCUUCGGGUUGUAAAGCACUUUCAGUGGGGAAGAAAGCCUUGGGGCUAAUACCCUCGAGGAAGGACAUCACCCACAGAAGAAGCACCGGCUAACUCCGUGCCAGCAGCCGCGGUAAUACGGAGGGUGCGAGCGUUAAUCGGAAUUACUGGGCGUAAAGCGCGCGUAGGCGGUCUGAUAAGCCGGUUGUGAAAGCCCCGGGCUCAACCUGGGAACGGCAUCCGGAACUGUCAGGCUAGAGUGCAGGAGAGGAAGGUAGAAUUCCCGGUGUAGCGGUGAAAUGCGUAGAGAUCGGGAGGAAUACCAGUGGCGAAGGCGGUCUUCUGGACUGACACUGACGCUGAGGUGCGAAAGCGUGGGUAGCAAACAGGAUUAGAUACCCUGGUAGUC
rnacentral:rRNA from 1 species